AGACUGCUGCCAUGGCCCAAAAAAACGAGAGCGCUGAGCUGUAAUCCUGUGAGAGGCACACAUACCCCAAGGCUCCAUUUCAGGACCUGCAGACCAGCCUGACUACGAGUGCACUGUUCUAUGCUAGACUGCUGCCAUGGAAACGCCUUGCAAAUGGGCGUGGGAGUCACAUGGUCACCAAAAGGGGAGGCCGAGAGAUUUCCCUACAGACUGGUGCGCGCGGCAUUCUGCUCUUUCUCCAGCGCAGCACAUUUGGUGGGAUAUGUGAAGGAAAUGAAGAGCAUAGCUGAGCAGUGAGUCAUGCUGUUUACUGGUAAAAGCGUCGACCAGAGGCAGGGAAUCACACCCUCCCGGUCUGACGUUUCCUGGAAAAUCCCGUUGUUUCGCAGGGAGGAAGGAACAGUACAGAGAACCUUGGAAAUGGCUGGCAACUUUUGUACGGAAAGGAAGAAGAACUCACAGAAUAUCUGAGCAAAGAUGCUCUCCCAACCAGGGACGCUGGGAUUCAAAGAAAUGUCAAGAAUGCGAAAAACAAGGACAUACCCAUCCCACGUUUUACUACCUGAAACCAAUCUGUGAAUGAUAUAAUAAUUACAGUAGGAAAAUAUGAAUGUUUCCAAAAAAAGUGUACCACAUCCCUCACUUCCAACAAGAUAUACCAAAGCAAAGCUCUGCAGUUGAAAAUAGUGUUAAUAAUCCAGUACUAUCCAGAUGUCAGUGCUUCUCCUUGAAAACAGCCAGCUGAGACACAAGGACAGACAAGAUGUGACAGCAUACAUUCUGAAUGCGGUGGAGGUGCAAAGCGUUGGUUUGUGCAUCGGCCAACAUGCAAUUUGAGUCAUGGUGGAAUCAGAAGGUUGCCAGAAGAAAAGUUGGAGAAGAAACGAGAAGAAAUCCCUAAUAACGCCACAAUCCAACAAACAAAAUAAAUGAGUAAUCUCGACACUUGCCACACCUCCCACCAUAAUGAGGUGAAAGCAGCUGGUUGAGAUGAGAAAAGCAGUAGAAGGCAGAACGUUAAUCCCUGUGGGUGGCAUAGUUAGCACCCUGAGACACUAUACAACUGUCAGGGACUCACUUCGGACUGACACACCACAGGCCUGUAAAGACAAACAUCUGUUAUUGCCUGACUACGCUCUGUUUGGCAUGUCGAGCUGUGAAUAAAACCAUGUCAACAGCUUCCAACGUCAAUAAUCAAAACUCAACUUUUUUUUUCUUCCAGUAAGACAAGCAAAACACAUCAUGGUCGACGUGUUCCCUGGGAAUUUCUCCAGCUGUGCCUCGUCACUAUCACGGACUAUUCGGGUGAUAAAAUGAGUCAGCCACUGUUACUUCUCCAUCCAAAGAAGACAUCAUGACUUUGGUGAUUGAACCACAUGUUCACCUCAUGACAGAGGAGUGCACCGCUCACACUGUUUGUCUGUGCACCCACCAGAAACAACAGUGAAUCACAAACAUCUAAGUGAAACAAGUUGCUCAAAGACAAAUAUUUUCCAGGUAUUAAUCACAAUGGCUUUAAAAUGUCACAAGUCCUAUUUAUUCAAUAAAACAAUGCACAAACUAAAAUAUAAAGCAUUAUUAUUUCUGAGGUCAAAUUGUGUUGUUGUUAGAUAAUUAUCAAAAAAAAAACUAAUGCACCUUUAAG